UGUGGGAGCGGGCUUGCCCGCGAUGCAGGCGCUGCGGUCUGCCUGUCGAAUCACGGUGAUGCCAUCGCGAGCAAGCCCGCUCCCACA
rnacentral:ncRNA from 2 species